GUGUGUGCCUGUAAUCCCAGCUACUUGGGAGGCUGAGGCAGGAGAAUCGCUUGAACCUGGGAGUCGGAGGUUGCAGUAAGCUGAGAUUGCGCCACUGCACUUCAGCCUAGUGGCAGAGCAAGACUCCGUCUCAAAAAAACAAACAAAAAAAAACAAAACCAAAGGUUCUUUGGACUGGUGGAUAUCCCUACCUUAUACUAUUUCAUAAAUAAUCAUGCACUGGAUAAUUGUCACAACUUUGAAGUUACUCUAAGAAUUAUGAUGGUGGAGCUGAGUCACACUUUUUAUUACAGAGAAUUCUGCCCAGGCCCUUUGCAGUGUCCUAGGGCACGCUUACUUCCAGGCUUUAGGAGUGAGAGUUCAGUGGCUUAAGUGAGGAGUACACAGGACCUGCACACCUGACCUCUGUCAAGGACUAGGCAUUGAGCUGGGAGAUACGAAGAUCAACAGGAUCAGAGCUUUGCCUUCAAGGAGCCACACAAAAGGGAGUGGGUCCAUUCUGUUCUGCCUCAGUAGAAACCAUACCUGUUUGCCAUUAUGAGUUACAGAUGACAGAAUGGUCCUCAGUGUCUUGAAGCCCAUUGCGAUGUCCAAUAGAACACAACAGUUCCCUAUUCUCCAGAGACCACCCAAGUUGGUGAUAAGGAAAUGGAGACCUCCCCACUAUUCACUGACCCCUCAGAAGAAUAACCCCAGCAAAUGCUGCCUCUCCCCCAACAGGGUGGCAGUAUUUAAAAAAAAAAAAAUGGGUUUUUUUUUUUUUUUUUUUUUGCUUGUUUUUGGUUUGUUAAAGCAGUUUCUUUGUCUUAAACAUUUAAAUGCCACUUGAAAGCAAAAACAAAUGCUGGUGUUACAGAGUAAACUGCUAAUAUUUUAUCUCUGGGGGAUGAAAAUAACAAUUAUUUUGACUUUCUUCCUUGUACGUUGCUACUUGAUUUUUUUAUGCACUGCAUUUAAAUUGAAAAUAAAACAAAAAAUCAAGCCAUGCUCUCUCUGCCACA
rnacentral:antisense_RNA from 1 species